rnacentral:rRNA from 1 species
AUGCUUGGGAAUAUGCCUUAUGGUGGGGGACAACAGUUGGAAACGACUGCUAAUACCGCAUGAUGUCUACGGACCAAAGUGGGGGACCUUCUGGCCUCACGCCAUAAAAUUAGCCCAAGUGGGAUUAGCUAGUUGGUGAGGUAAUGGCUCACCAAGGCGACGAUCCCUAGCUGGUUUGAGAGGAUGAUCAGCCACACUGGGACUGAUACACGGCCCAGACUCCUACGGGAGGCAGCAGUGGGGAAUAUUGCACAAUGGGCGCAAGCCUGAUGCAGCCAUGCCGCGUGUGUGAAGAAGGCCUUCGGGUUGUAAAGCACUUUCACUAAGGAGGAAAGGUUAAGUGUUAAUAGCACUUACCUGUGACGAUACUUACAGAAGAAGCACCGGCUAACUCCGUGCCAUCAGCCGCGGUAAUACAGAGGGUGCGAGCGUUAAUCGGAAUUACUGGGCGUAAAGCGUACGCACGCGGUUUGUUAAGCGAGAUGUGAAAUCCCCGGGCUCAACCUGGGAACUGCAUUUCGAACUGGCAAACUAGAGUGUGAUAGAGGGUGGUAGAAUUUCAGGUGUAGCGGUGAAAUGCAUAUAGAUCUGAGCGAGUACCGAUGGCGAAUGCAGCC